AUUGAACGCUGGCGGCAGGCUUAACACAUGCAAGUCGAGCGGAGUGAUGGUGCUUGCACUAUCACUUAGCGGCGGACGGGUGAGUAAUGCUUAGGAAUCUGCCUAUUAGUGGGGGACAACGUCUCGAAAGGGAUGCUAAUACCGCAUACGUCCUACGGGAGAAAGCAGGGGAUCACUUGUGACCUUGCGCUAAUAGAUGAGCCUAAGUCGGAUUAGCUAGUUGGUGGGGUAAAGGCCUACCAAGGCGACGAUCUGUAGCGGGCCUGAGAGGAUGCUCCGCCACACUGGGACUGAGACACGGCCCAGACUCCUACGGGAGGCAGCAGUGGAGAAUAUUGGACAAUGGGGGGAACCCUGAUCCAGCCAUGCCGCGUGUGUGAAGAAGGCCUUAUGGUUAUAAAGCACUUUAAGCGAGGAGGAGGCUUACCUAGUUAAUACCUGGGAUAAGUGGACGUUACUCGCAGAAUAAGCACCGGCUAACUCUGUGCCAGCCGCCGCUGUAA
rnacentral:rRNA from 1 species